CUCUACUCUUGUUUUUUAUUGUACCUUCCUGGUUUACUAGGAUUUCAGCUUAAGAGAGAAAUUCUUCGUUUUCUGGAACGGGCAGAAGGAGGUUUUAUUCAUCAGACUUGAAGAUUCUGCAUACCUAUAAAAGAAAGCAUGUAUGGCCUUGCCAGCAACAGAGGAAAAAGUGUUAAGAAUACUGAAAACUGAAGGGAACUGAUUUCUGCAGUGUUCUGUGUUGCUCAACUCACUGCUAGGGUUUCUCAUUGUUUUGUGUUUACAUGCAGCUAGAGUGUAUUUAUUCCCAUUUCCAAAGCAUUGUCUCUUUUGGAAAUAUUCUUAGGUAGAGAUUGUUUUCAUAUGGCAGGAGACUGAGUUACUGCAACUUUUUACUCCUUCUGAGAAUUUGCAUGAGCUCUAGCUAAGACUGAAAAUGAUUGUUAUGCAACCCCAAUUUCACACUUACCAACUGGGUUACUUAGUAGGCCUUCCUUCUAGAGAUGUAUUAAUGUGAAGUUUAAGCAGAAGCUUAAUAUGAGGAGAAUUUUAGCUGUUAUCAGUUUGUUCCUUUAUUAAGGGAUUAUGAGGGUAAUACUUAAAAUUCUUGUUUGAAAUAGUACAUGUAUAAUUCCUAAUCUUUUUUUAACAGCCAUGAAACCAAAAUUACUGAGGAAGUAACUGCAGUUUGACUCAGGGAAUGGUAUGGAUGGUGGAGUUGUGCCUGGCUUUAUUCCAAAGGCGGUUUGGUUCUAGUAUUGUACCCAUGAGAAAUUUGUUUCCUGACUUAGCUUUCUCGGUGCUAGCAUAAGAACUGGCGUAUUAGCAAACAUAUGUAACUAAGUUCUGUUUUGCAGUGGCAUGUCUUGUACCAGACUGUCAUGUUUUAAGUAACUCAAACCCCCAUACGCUUGCUUUUUCUCCAUAGAGUUGUCCUUAAUGUACAUGGCACAUACAAGCACCUGAUAAACUCCUCUUUCCAACAGAGCACAAUUCUGUUUUCCUUUGCUUUUCAUACAUUUUAAGAGGAUCUAAGGAGAAUUCCAUAGGAAAGUUGUAGCUAAAGUGAAAAUUUGACUUUACUAAUAAUAGUGGCUGGUAGAAAGAAUAGCACAGCAAAGGAAAUUUUUCAUUUGAUUGUAUUAUCAUUUCAUUAGCUUCACAGCUAAUUCAUGGAAAACCUAAAAUGCACAAGAGUUCCCUCUGAAGUAUUCAAGUCUAGCUCACAGAUGUGCUAUAAAUGUUUCAGGAAAUACAGACAGGAUAAAAGGUGUCUGCUGAGUGCCAGGACACUCUCCCUACCAACGACAGAUGACACCUACUGGCUAAGAACAACGCUGGGACUAAUUCACUGUGUUCCCUAACCAUGUCCAACAGUUACAAUCAGAAAUUGUCAAAGAUACCAGUUUUCCAUAGUAUCUGGCUUCAUGACACUAUGGCUGUGGAACACUUGGCCAGCUGGCCCUAGAAAUAUGCAAGAGUGACUGCCAACCUGGGUUUUCAGUGUUAUCUUCACUUACUCUCCUUGUUAAGAAAUAUGUGAGCAAAAUCAUAAACCUUUGUAAUUCUACAAGUGCCCAAUCAAGCUGCUAGAAUCAAAACCAGUAUAAAAUUCAGAGUUACACUUGUGAUUUUUACUAAUGGUUUUUGUGCUACAGUACAGAACUUGUGUAAUGCACUGGACCAGAUCAAAGGUAUUUUGUAUUUUGAGCUCUUACAUUGAUGUUUCUUUUUCUGUUUUUCUGUUUCUGCCUUUAAACUGUGUUUGAAGGUGACAGUAUUUCCCUGUAACUAUGUAGAAUACCUAGAACACUGGGAUCUUAACUCCAGUUGGAGUCUUCCCAAGCUUAAUGAUGCAUAGUAUAGCAUGUGUUUUUAUGAACUAUACUACACAUCUAUUUUCCUGUGUACUCUUGCAGACCAUCUUACUGGAAAUGUGCACUGAAGUUUAAAAACUGUGAAGAGUUAAAGGGUAAUACUUACAGGUUAAGCAGAUGUGCAGCACAGUAAGAAGUACAUCCUUAGUAAUGGUCUCUAAGGAUGUAUUUCAUGUACAUUAUAAUGUAAAUGCAUGAUUCUAAGGUGUGUAUCCCUCUACACAUUCCUGUGUAUGUACAUUCUUGGCACGAGAAAGUGCUAACAUUACUAUUAAACAGAAAUGUAGACAGGUGACAAAUCAAUAAGCAGGCUUGCUUCUUAUAAACAUUCCAAAGAAAGCCUGAGAUCUUUUGCUUGGUCAAACUGGAAAAGAACUUGUUUUGUCAGCAUUCUGGCUGAUUCUUUGCAUCUAGAAGCUAUUGUAAACACUGGCAUAAGAUGUCUUAAGUAAACUGUCCUAGGAGUUGUGAAGUGUAAAAAGUAUCGCUAAAUAGUUUCUUGAGGUUGUUUUUCCAUGUUCUCUCACACUUUUGCCCCUUAAAGAAGGGCUUUUGGACACUAAGCAUAAUCUCUUGCUCAAUUAGAUAAAACCUGUACAGCGACAUAAUUCAGUCUUCGGCAAGGAGAGCAGGUGUUACAACUACUUGUAACUUCACCAAGCCCUAGGAUCUGAGUGUGACAGACUUGGUGUGAAGAGUUAGUAAACCCCUACAGAUAAUCUCAUGAUUGUCCUAACUGGAGUUGACACUUUUUACCCUGUUUUCAGGGUGCUGCAGCAUUGCUGCAGACACAAGGGAUAAAGGACAAUUGCCUAAGAAGGGAUGUGCUGUCUGGACAAACCCAUUUCUACCCAUUUCUUGUUUUCCCUCAUACUUAAAAUGUAUGUAUUUGCUUUUUUGCGACUCUCAUGGUCUGUAAUAAAAUAGUCUUGCUACUGUGCUUUACAUAACCCUUUCCUGCCUAUUUGCCUAUUUUUUGCUCUAUAAAUCAACAAACCAAGAACUGUCCAGAAUGUGAUCAUGGAUUUAGUCAUCCCAUCUUGCCCCAGAAUCAUCUGUGCAUGGGACACAUACAAAUUUUCACUUCAGUCUCAUUUCCUUUUUCUGCAAUAGUACAACAGCAAAGCAAGACGAGAGAAGAGCAAAGAAUAAUAGGAAUCAACCAGACACCCAAAGCUGCAGCUUCCCAGG